GUUCUGUCUUCUGCCACCAAAGUUCCAAGAGAAUAUGUUUAUUUUCAGUAAUUGAAGGUGUCAAACUUCAGGAAAAGAAGAAUAGCUGGUAUUCUGUUCACACAUAUAUUCCAUGGCUUGAGCACCGAAGAUAGAGCAAAGCUUAUAAAAAUAAUUCAGUAUGCCCAGGGAAACAUGUUCAGUUAGAAACACUGAGUUCAUCUGAUGAAUCCUACCAAUGAGUUUCCAUUGCAAUGAAUGUCCCAUUCUCCAGUCCCA